CAAGGAUGAUAUUAGCGAUGAUGAUGAUGAUGAUGAUGAUGAUCAUCAUCAUCAUCAUCAUCAUCAUCAUCGUCAUCAUCA
rnacentral:pre_miRNA from 1 species